rnacentral:rRNA from 1 species
GGGUAGUAAUUUAAAACCUAAAGAAUUUGGCGGUUCUUAAACUUACUAGAGGAACCUGUCCUAUAAUCGAUAGUCCACGAUAUUAUUUACCUAUUUUAGUUAUCAGCUUAUAUACCGCCGUUUAGUGAAUUAAAUAAAUAAUUUCCCUCAAUUAAUUAGUUAAGAAAAUCAGGUCAAGGUGUAGUUUAUAGAUAGGAAGAGAUGGGUUACAAUAAUACUUUAUUACGGAUAGUAACCCUAGGUAAGCUUGAAGGUGGAUUUAGAAGUAAAUUUUACUGAUUUGAAGCAAGCUCUUAAGAAUGUACACAU